UGAAUAUUAGAAAACACUGCUGCAACCUGAAGUUCCUUGUUAAUGUUCACAUUCUUCAUUCAUGCAGAACACACAGGAGUAGGAAGCUCCGCUGGGAACACCAGACACGCACCCGCGCUCAUCAGGCAGACUGUGCCCACUCUCCGCCGCAGCCGGCGGCAAUCCACGCCUGACAUAGCUGGCGUUGAUGAAGGACGGCAGUAUGAAGACGGUCGACGCUGACUCAUCGACGUCCGAACGUAAAUCUACUACCCCGCUCGUGUCACCACUGCUGUUUCCCUCCUGGACCUGGUUUGCCUUCCCCGAUCCUUGACCCUGCUUUUGGACUUUCGGACUCUCUCUCCUGCCUUUGACCCCCGCUUGGACCUUGGACUUCCCCUGGCUUCUCUCCCCCUCGGAUUUGGACGCUGAACAUCCAAUACGCACCUCAACAAACCUCACGGUAUUCACAUAUGGUAAUUCCACACACAGUCGUUCAUGCAGACACAUAGUAGCAUAAACACUCCACGUAAUCAUCAAGUAUUCAAUAAACCACACUGUAAAAAAAAAUUCUGUAAAAAAACGGUCAUCUACUGGCAGCUAUGGCUGCCAAACGAAAACCAUAAAAUGAAAGUAAAACAUUGUAAACCAAAUAAUGAUCAAAAACAUAUUUACAGAAAAUUUCAUGAAACGUUUUGCGCAGAAAUAUCGUACUUUUACAGAUUUUUACUAAAUGAUUAAGAUUAACCACCUUAAAUAAAGUGAUGAUGCAAACAGUUCUGCAGAAAAAUACCUUUUCUCUACAGAAUUUUUCCAAAAUAUUACAAUCAACCACUUUUAAUGAAGUGACAAUACUGGCAGUUUCACAGAAAAAUACCAUUGUUUUACAGAUUUUUUCUGAAUUGUUAGGAUCAGGGGUCUCACAUUCAUUUUACCGGGGGGCCACUGGAUGCAGGAACUUGGUGCAAAGUGGGUUCACCUUCUAUGAAUGGCAAUCCAACCCUAACAACAUAAUUACCGAUCCUACCGAUUUUUCCGCGAGACUUUGGGUGACCCUCUCGUAGGAUUGACCCGAUGUUUGCCCGGGCAAAUACAUCACGGGCGUACCGUGACAGCGCUUUGACGCCCUCUGCAUAACAACAUAAUUACCGAUCCUACCGAUUUUUCCGCGAGACUUUGGGUGACCCUCUCGUAGGAUUGACCCGAUGUUUGCCCGGGCAAAUACAUCACGGGCGUGCCGUGACAGCGCUUUGACGCCCUCUGCAUUCAUUCGUUCACCGAACCAUCA